rnacentral:lncRNA from 1 species
UGCCUUUCCUGCGCAGCUACGUAUGAUAGUUCAACUUCGGGAAUAAGACCAUUGUACUGAGUUUUGGGCCCAAUUGACUAGAUGAGUGGGCUUUUAGAAUUAGGGUUUGCUCACAAACUAUAAAUAGCACAUCUAUUGGAAAACUAGGGGAUCAACUCAUUCAAGCAACACACUUGUAACAUGUAAACACUCUCAAUAUAGUGAAACCAACGAAGAACUCCCGUGGAUGUAGGUCUUGAUGGCCGAACCACGUAAACCCAUGUGUCG